rnacentral:lncRNA from 1 species
UACAAACACAACAGUUUACAUUAAAAAAGGAGGCAUGCUUACACUUUGCACUGAAGGAAGAUACUGUCUCUCUUCCAGGUCUGCUUAAUAUACAGACGUCCAUCAAAAUAUAGUCUAGAACAAAUAAUAAGUGCAGAAAUACAAGACACCAAUUGAAAAGUGUCUCCCAACAAGCACACUUUGAGACUCCUCAUUUGAAAAAAAAAAUCUCUGGGAUAUUACGUGGAUCAGAUUGCUUAUGAUGACAGUGCUGGAGGACAUCAUGACGUUGAAAGAGUCUGUUUCCCCCAAUCAUCUUGUGGAGGAAAAGCAACUCUGGAGACCAUGCAGGAGAAGGAGUGGUA